rnacentral:rRNA from 1 species
GAUCAUGGCUCAGGAUGAACGCUAGCUACAGGCUUAACACAUGCAAGUCGAGGGGAAACGAUAUUGGAAGCUUGCUUCCGAUAGGCGCCGACCGGCGCACGGGUGAGUAACGCGUAUCCAACCUGCCCACCACUUGGGGGAUAACCUUGCGAAAGUAAGACUAAUACCCAAUGAUAUCUCUAGAAGACAUCUGAAAGAGAUUAAAGAUUUAUCGGUGAUGGAUGGGGAUGCGU